GUCACUUAGGCGGAUUAAGCGCGUUAGGUUUAGGGCCUAGAUUUGGUUUAUUAUCAAGUGAUA
rnacentral:tRNA from 1 species